UACGUAGGGGGCUAGCGUUAUCCGGAAUUACUGGGCGUAAAGGGUGCGUAGGUGGUUUCUUAAGUCAGAGGUGAAAGGCUACGGCUCAACCGUAGUAAGCCUUUGAAACUGGGAAACUUGAGUGCAGGAGAGGAAAGCGGAAUUCCUAGUGUAGCGGUGAAAUGCGUAGAUAUUAGGAGGAACACCAGUGGCGAAGGCGGCUUUCUGGACUGUAACUGACGCUGAGGCACGAAAGCGUGGGGAGCGAACAGGAUUAGAUACCCGUGUAGUCCCUGAGCGGGCU
rnacentral:rRNA from 1 species